rnacentral:rRNA from 1 species
UACAGAGGGGGCAAGCGUUAUUCGGAAUUAUUGGGCGUAAAGGGCGUGUAGGCGGCCUGGCGAGUGGAAGGUGAAAUCCCUCGGCUUAACCGAGGAACUGCCCUCCAAACUGCUUGGCUUGAGUCCGGGAGAGGUGAGUGGAAUUCCCAGUGUAGCGGUGAAAUGCGUAGAUAUUGGGAGGAACACCAGUGGCGAAGGCGGCUCACUGGACCGGAACUGACGCUGAGGCGCGAAAGCGUGGGGAGCAAACGGG